rnacentral:lncRNA from 1 species
UCCUCCAACGUUCGACCUUCCACUGUGUCCUCAAGACUCCUCCAGUGGAUGAACCUCCACAACGCCAUCCAAACUCCACUGUCGAUCGACCCUCUGUCGUAUUCCUUAUGAAAUCAGACUCCUCCGACGGACAGUCCUCAGACGAGCUUCUACAUCAGGCAAAUUUCAGAUGGACUUCUCUAGCAAUCGGACUCCUGCCAGACUUCUCCAACAGAAAAUCUCCAUCCGAGCUUCUACAGUAGAUGAUUUCCGUUUGCAGCUUCAGUGCCCAAGGCACCCGACAACAGUGGACUCUUCAGCAACCUCUAAAACAUCUGAGCCUCUCUUAGAUUGCUGAGACAGAGAGACAGUCUGCUCCAUCAGACAUCCCAGUCAAGCUUCAGCCGUCUAGCCCGAACUCUCCGACAAGUCACGACAACGGACACCACUCCACUCUCUGUAACAGAUUCCACAUAGCUCCACCACUCUCUAGCAAGUCACAACAACGGACACCACUCCACUCUCCAUAACAAACUCCACAUGGCCCUGAACGGCCCACUGACGUCGCUACUCUCCGUAACAAACCCCGCGUGGCCCCGAACAGCCCACUACCAGGCAGUUACGGACAUCGCUGUCAAUCAGUUACACUCUCCCAUCUAUAAAAGAGACCCUCAGAUACAUUUUUCUCUAAGCUCAAAACUCUAUCUCGAAACU